rnacentral:rRNA from 1 species
GAUGAACGCUGGCGGCGUGCCUAAUACAUGCAAGUCGAGCGAACAGACGAGGAGCUUGCUCCUCUGACGUUAGCGGCGGACGGGUGAGUAACACGUGGAUAACCUACCUAUAAGACUGGGAUAACUUCGGGAAACCGGAGCUAAUACCGGAUAAUAUAUUGAACCGCAUGGUUCACUAGUGAAAGACGGUUUUGCUGUCACUUAUAGAUGGAUCCGCGCCGCAUUAGCUAGUUGGUAAGGUAACGGCUUACCAAGGCAACGAUGCGUAGCCGACCUGAGAGAGUGAUCGGCCACACUGGAACUGAGACACGGUCCAGACUCCUACGGGAGGCAGCAGUGGGGAAUCUUCCGCAAUGGGCGAAAGCCUGACGGAGCAACGCCGCGUGAGUGAUGAAGGUCUUCGGAUCGUAAAACUCUGUUAUUAGGGAAGAACAAAUGUGUAAGUAACUAUGCACGUCUUGACGGUACCUAAUCAGAAAGCCACGGCUAACUACGUG